GUUAGUGGAGCGGCACACGUUGAAAAUAUUGGAUUUAAACGUUGGUGUCGCCCCGGAUAAACAUUGUGUCAUUCCUGACAGACAGUAGACAUCUGAAGAAAAUACCUUAAGAAAUGUAAUCCACUCCUGAAUAACAGGUGCAGAGAAGAAACUGUCUGCCCAGGUAGCUGGCCUGUCUGGCCCAGUUGCUGAUGGCUGUGUUUGAUGGGAAGUGGCUGCAGUUAUUCUGAGCUCCAGACAGAGUGACAGACAGAGCCUGGAGAAAGAAACACCGGCAGAGUGACAGCCAGACAGACAGAAGAAGCAGCAUUUUGGGUGAUUCCCCACAGACUGCCUGGGUCACUGCAGACACAGAGUGGUCACAAAGGUCUCCCUCUCUCCUCUGCUUUGUGUCCAGUCUCUUCUGUCCUUCCUAAAAUAGAGAGGAGGAGGAAACAGACAAAAGUGUCAGACUUGCUAUCAAAGAUGAGAAAAUGGCCUUCGGCUAUUGAUGAGUAUGCUGUCUACAGUAUGAUUAGCUAUUGUUUAAUUGAAUUAAAGUGUUCUGGGUAAGGGCA